CUUAGAGCUUUUAGCCUCUCAGCCUUCUCUCUGCCUCUUAGCUUUCAUUUUAAAGUAUAUAAUUAAAGCAUUUAUAUAAAAGGAUGGCUGAAAGCCUGUGUAGAUGGCUCAGGGAUAAAAGUGCUUGCUGGAAAAGCCAGAUGACCUGAGAUUUCAAUCCCUGGAACUUGAGGCAGAUGGGAGGCGGAGCCAAGAGAACUGUCUGGAAGCUUGCAGGUGUUCCCUGGUAGCUACCGCGUAACGGUCACGGCUUUAGGAGCAAUGGAUUUGGUAGUGAACAAAAGACGUACAAAUUUGGGUUGUUAUGGGCAGAAACCCAAAGAGUGAAGCCGCCGAUCAGACAAUAGAUGGAGGAGAGCUGGGAAGAAGUGUUAAGUAUAAACGGCCGAGGGAGGGACGGCUUUCGAAUGCUAGAGGAGUAUCGUUGUGGCUGGAGUGCGAGGGAAGAAAUGUCAAAAUGGUGACCUGGAUCGUGAUGCCUAGCACAGCUCACAGCAGUCCCUCAAUGCCAAGGAACACAGUCCAUCAUUGGUAGAUAAUUCAGGGUGGAAUUGCUGAUUCACAUCACCAAUACAUGAGUGAUCAUUUGAGAAAAUUCCAGUUUGUCCUCUGAGGUGGUUGUACUACUGAACAUUCCUAUGAGCACUGUACCAGAGUUCCCCCGUUCUCCAUACUCACACCAGCAUUUGUCCUGACUAGCAGCCAUCCCAGCAGGCUUGACCCAGUGUCUCACUGGGGUCUUGCAUGUCCACAAUGGUUAGAGAUGUCAAACAUCCUUUUGGGCAUUUUUGAAUUCCAUCUGGGACAGAAUAUUUGGCUGAGAUAAACUCAAUUGUUUCUAAACAAUUGAUUGCCUCACCUGCUUAUGAAGUCGUUCUUGGCCUGUGAGAGGUAGCAUGCCUAAGGACGUCCUGGAUUUUCCCUGCAUUGUCCUUCCACUGGAGGUGAGGUCCCCGGAUAAAUGUGGGGAGGCAAGCAUAGUGCUCCGGUGUAAUAUUUUUAUUACUCAAGGACCUGGUGCAGAUUUGGGAGUACAUCAGCCACCACCCCCAGAAGAGGUGGAGAGACAGAACAAUGCACAAAAGAGGAAUGAGGAGGGUGCAUGGAGUGAACCCCAGCUCCAGUUGAAACAUCAGUACAAACUCCUGGUCCCAUACGGUGUGAAUUGGUACCACUUUCAGGAAAGCAAUUUGGCAGAAUGCUUCAAGAUUCAUAAAAAAAGAUCAUGUCUAUGAUUGGAAGUUUUUAUACCUGGUAAUCUUUCUUAAGUGGAGAUUGUACAGAGGGGAAAACAUUGUAUGUAUGAGUGUGCCACACAAGAGAGCUACAGUUACAACAGCGAAAGGAUGAUUUGGGACACUGGCUAAUGAACUAAUAUACAGGCUUUGAAGACUGACAACAUCAAAAUCAGAACCGUAGAUUUAAAUGGUGUACCCAGCACAAAAUAUGCACAUAACUCCAAGGGCUGAAGAAGAAUUCACAAAAUGACAGCCAGAUGGAAUUAAGAAUAGCUUAAAACAUCUGUAUUGUGGAACACUACAGACCUCACAGAAGCAGACAAGGUAAGUGACCUCCUACUCACAAACUACUGAUAAGUGAGCAGAAUCAGCAACCUUCACAGCAAUUGCUUCACACGUAUGUAAAAUUCACAUGUAUGUAAAAGGCCUACUGGUUCCCAACACUUAAAACUCAAUUCAACAUGCCGUAGUCACAGUCAGCAAAAUGAAUAAUUUUUCUCAUAUGUAUCUUUAAAAAAACAUUUUUAGGGGCUGGAGAGAUGGCUCAGUUGUUAAGAGCUCUGACUACUCUUCCAGAUGUCUUGGGUUCAAUUUCCAGCAACCACAUGGUGACUCACGACCAUCUGUAAUGGGAUCUGAUGCCCUCUUCUGGUGUCUGAAGGCAGCAACAGUGUAUACACACACACACACACACACACACACACACACACACACACACACACACACACGCACCAAACCAAAAAACAUUUUCUGUGAUUUCAGACAAACAGACAAGCCAGGGACUUCUUUUUCUUCCUGCUCUACGAUCCCAGAACUUGACGUGAUUCCCCCAUUGCUCUCUUCAACCUCCUUCACCUCAUACAGAUCACGUUCAUCUAUAGCAUUUGGAAAUAAGUUUCUGAUAUGCUAUCUCUAAACCCCCGAAUUCUACAUCAAGUAUUUCCAUGGAAUGAAGCCUUUCUCUUGUAUACCUUCUGUCCAUGGGUUACAACCAGGAAGUCAACACCAUAACCACCGUGGUCAUGUGACCUGAAGUCAUAUGUGUCUUGGCACUCAGAAGGACUCCAUGUCUGACUUAAUGCCUUCUUGUUAAAAUUUUGAAGUUCUUAAUAUGUUUGGAAGAAGGUGCUCACAUUUUCACCCUGGGCCCUACAAAUUCUAAAGCUGGUCUGGACAUGGUAAUUUAAUAUAUAGCCUUUAAUCAGACUUGAUGACUUUUUUUUUUUUACACAAGAAAUGGUCACUGAGAGUGUAGUAUGGCUGCAGAGUUCUUGCUGAGCUUACACAAAACCCUGGGUUUGAUAACACAUAAAACUUGGCAUAGUGGUGCACUUGAGAAGCUGAGGCAGGAGAGUUGCUACAAGUUUGGAGGCUGGCCUGGCUACAGAUUGAGUUCUAUGCCAGCAAGGGAUUCCAUUGAGACCAUCUCAAAGAGUAAACAAAUGGGGGUCUUGAAAGUUGGAUUGGUAGUAAGAUAUUUGCUUUUCUCUCAGAAGACCCAGGUUUGGUCGCAGAAUCCACAUGGCUGCUUACAAUCACCUUUAACUCUAAUUCUAAAGGAUCUAAUCCUCUUCUGAUCUCCCUGGGUACCAGGCACAUAUGUGGUGCACAUAUGUACCUGCAGGCAGACACUUAGAUACAUACAAUGAAUAAAUCUAAAGAAAUCAAACAAAGAAGUUGUACAAUACGGUCACAUUAAUGACAUUUCUUUCUCUUUACAUUUGUGUGUGUGUGUGUGUGUGUGUGUGUGUGUGUGUGUGUGUGUAGGCAUGCGUGCACUGUGGUAUGCAUGUGGAGGUCAAAAGAUAAUCUUCAGGAGUCAUUUAUUUCCUUCCUUUGUGUGGGUAAUAGCCCAGGUAUCCAACUUGGUUUGUCAGGCUUGGCAUCUUGCUGGGCCUCGUAACAUUUUUAUACAUGUGUACACAUUGGUACAAUGUACUUUAGUUUCACCCACCCCUCUAUUUUCCUUUAUUAUCAUUUAAUCCCAAUAGCUUACACACAAACUUCCCUGCUCCUAGAUCCCAUAUAUGAAAAAAAAUUGACAUCUGUCUUUGUAAACUUGGCUCAUUUCAUUUGACAUGAUGAUCGCUAGUUCUUUCUACUUUCUUGAAAAAAAAAAUCCUCAAAAUGUAUUCUUUUUCAUAGCGAAAAUUCAUUGUAUAUGUAUAUACACAUACAUCAUGCACAUGGAUAUGUGUUCCUACACACACACACACACACACACACACACACACACACACACACACACACAUUAAUAUGUUGCUUGUGGCACAAUGACUGACCAAGGCAGUAUAAAGAAGGAAAGGUGUAUUUUGGCUCAGUGUGAGAGUAUAGUCUGUCAGGCAGAGGAGCAUGAGGAAGGGCAGCUAUGGCUGUGGAAGUGGGAGUGUGAGUUAUUUGGUCACAUUGCCAAGAAGCAGAGAGCGAUGGAUGCAGAUGCUAGCUUGCUUUCUCCUCUCUAUUUAGUGUGGGACCCCAGUUUCUGGAUCGUGGCACCCCAUAAUUAUGAUGCAGCUUCCUCUUCAGCUCAUCCUAUGUGGAAAAGCUCUCACCUAGAGGAUUGUUUCCUAAAUGUACCACCAGUUUACAUCAAGAUUAGCCAUUACUACAUACACAUACACACACACACACACACACACACACACACACACACACACACACACACAAACACACGCACAUUUUAAAACCCAUUCAUCUGUUGAUGGGGUUCUGGGAUGAUUUGACUCUUUAUCUUGACUAGUCUAAGUAGUUGAACAAAAACACAAGUGUGCAGGCACUGCCGUAUUGUACUCAAAUCCUUCAGGAAUCACCCAGAAGUGGUAAACCUGGGUAACAUAGAAGUUCCAUUCUUAUUUGUGUGUGUAUGUUGUAUGGGUGUGUAUGGGUGUGAAUGGGUGUGAAUGGGUGUUCAUAUACGUGCAUGAAGGUGGAGGCCAGAGGUUGACAUCGGUUGUGUUCCUCAAUUGCUUACCAGCCUAAUCUUGGAGAGAAGGCAUCUCAGUGAACAUGGAGCUCACCGAUUGGCUAGGCAAACAACAAGCUCCUGAGGACGUCUUGCACUUGCUUCCCACCAGGGGGAGGACAGGCAUAUCACUGUGCCCUGCUUUUUAUGUGGGUGACUGGGAUGAGAACUUAGGUCCUUAUGCUUAUGAAGCAAGUACUUUACCAACCGAACUGUCUCCUCAGGCUUCCUUUUUAAUUUUUCAGAUCGUUCCCUACUAGUGGCUAAAGUGACUGGAACAAUGACCUUGUGACCCUGUCUGCAUUUAUUUUAAAAGUAAUUCAAAACCACCUGUUACACUCAAUUAUUAGACAAUUCAGCUAGUUAGUAUUAUUUUCUCAAUCUCCCCGUAUCUUCUGUGAAACCAUUGACAGUUUUGAAGAACACAGGAGAACGUUCCUCAAUUUGAGACUUCUCAUAUUCCUCAUUACCAGAUUUAGGUGAAGCAUAUUUUAUAGGAUUAUUGUGGAAGUAGUGUGUGUUUUUAUUAGUGUUUUGUACCAGCAUAUACACAAUCUGAACUUAUAUCAUGAAUAGAAAUGUUCUUUGAUCACCCAGGAAUCUGUCAAAUAUUAUUUCCCCCCGAGAUACACUGAGUAUCUAAAUAUCUUUUCAUUUCCAACUCGCCCAGUAGUUUCUAGCAUCAGCCGAUAAAUUCUGCCUGAUGAAUUAUGAUGAUUGACAAGUAAUAUCUUUUCCAAUGUCAAAAUGUCUCCUACUUUUGACAACUAUCUUUCAUUUCUUCAUGGCCAUUACAAUCAUUACAUUCAUUGGCUUUCUUCUUUAAGGGAUUUCUCUUUACCACUGACACGUGACUCCACAGGUUAUUAUCUACUAGUGCUAUUGACUGGGAUGUUUAAUCAUUUCCGAUUAUUACAUUAGUAUAAGCCCAUCACACUCAACCCAGUGUCUUUACACAUAUCACCCCAUACUUGCUUGGUACUUUCUAGCCUACAGUGUUGCAGUCUCAUCAUACUGGCCUUGGAAUCAACUCAUUAACUAAGCAAUGCUCGUUUAGUUCUGUAAGUCGCAUGGUAUGCAGAUAUUAGGGUGUGGGUCCAGGUACACUCAUUGCUACAAGAAUGUCGUGCUUCUGUAUCAUAGACUGGGAUGCUAAUGUACACACCCACUCAUGGGUGAGUGUGUCUAUAUAUUUACUUAGCUCUUUCAUUUAUCUGAGAAAUCUGUAACCAGAAACUUACACUGCUGUCUCUAAUUCAUUCUAGUUCACAUUGCAAGGCUCAGUUUCCUUUCCCCCUUCCCUAUUUGUUUUUCCCCCAACAUAAUUUUUAUUAAUUACUUGUGAAUUUCAUAUAAUGCACCCCAUCAUACUUAAUUCCCAUCCCUUCCAGGUCCACCCUUCUACCCUUGUACCCCCAAAGAGUAAUACACCAAGUCCAACUUAUGUUGCCCAUAUACUCAUUGGGCCAACUCUUUAAAGAAAACUGAGGCCCACCCCAUCCCCAUGCCAGGAGCCAACUGUGAAGGUCUACAUCUUUAUCACAAUUUUAAGAUCUCCCUUUUAAGGUCUUCCUAUGUAGGAUGGUGUUAUUAUGCAGGUGAAGGCAGGUACAAGGUAGAAUGAGGCCUGUCAUUGGAUGAGACGGCAGGAUAGGCAGGAGAAAAUUUUUAAAGGGAGGAGACUGGAGUGAGGGGAGGAGAGAAGCAGCCAAGAGAACAUGGAGGCAAAUGUUGAUACCUCUCUGCACAUUUACAGGUUGUUAUGAAUAUUCUUCAGGGAUGGAUGUAUACAGGACUUUGUGUGUCUAGAUGGGCAAACUGUAUGUUAUCUAGGUGAGCAAUUAUAUCUUACUAAUUGGAUCAGAGGUUAUUGUGUUGUGUGUUUUUAAUGUGGCGAUUUAAGUCUAAGAGAGUAUGUGGUGGCUGGAGACACUGGGCCGCCACGGCAUUGGGAUGUAUAUUUCUUACAUGGUGGCAACCUGCCUUGGGAACUAGAUGGGUAGAGAGACUGUUGCCAGGCUCAGAGAGAAGCCAUCAGCAGUGUGAUAUGGGAUAGAACAAAGCGGGUGAGACCGAGAUGAAGAUGUCUACCAGAUAUCUUGGGGCACCGCGGUGUCGGACCUUGUGUAACUUUUUGUCUCACUGACAUCGUCAUCUGAAAUGAUUAAGCAUCCCAGUAAACAGUGGCAUUAAUAGAUAAUAAUCUGCUGAGUCACAUGUCAAUGAACCAAUCGGCUAAUCGGGUUUUCUUCCCUUUCCUGAUCUUGAAGUUGUGUUGAACUUUGGAUUUAGUCCUGGUCACGUUGGCUGCAUAAGAAUUUCUAAGCAGCAUUUCGAACACUCUACAUUCGGUCUCCCCUGGUUUCCUAUCCACUUGACUUGUUUUAAUCAGGUUUCAAAAUUUUCCAUCUUUUUUCCCCUAUUAUCUCUUCACCUCUACCUUUUGUAGACUGACCAUUGACUGACCACAAAGAACUGUUUGAAUAUUGCCCUUCCUGAUACUUUUCAAUGUGGCAACUUAAAGAAAUGAUGUUUAUCUGAAGUGACAGACAUUCCAACCUGAUUAUUGCACAUUACGUACUUGUAUCAAAAUGCACCGCACCCCAUACAUGUGGAGAAUUUCUGUGUGUCAAUUUAAGACAAGUUAACAGAAAGAAGACUCUUCGCCUUGAUACAACAAAACUAUGAUUUCCCAAUUCUAUGCGGAUGGUGUUUUAUCCCUUCCCACACUGGAUAACGUAUUACAUCGUGCUUGCAAUUAAAAGCAUAAAUGCAUAAGAGUGAGCUCUCAUGCCCACACCAGCAGUAAGCAGUGGCCUAAUGGCUUUAUCCUUGUAGCAGAUUUUUAAUCUAGUUUCCCAGAUAGCCCCUUGGCCACCUCCUCUGGAGAGCACAGUUAAACUUUCUAAACUCUAAGGGGGUUUAUUUUGGGAAUGUGUGUGGCCAGUUUAAUCUCUUCACAGGAGAGAGGGGAUUUAAAGUGCAUGGAGCCCGUCACUCAAUGAUUUCUCUUUGGGUAUCAUCUUCCAUGGAAUAGCUGUCUUUCUCAGAGUAGUGGCUUUCAGAGCCCUGAAAGCGGAACAAUUGGGCAGAUUAGACAAGAGACACCCAGGACACACAUAGCAACAACCUCUGCCACAGUAAACUGCAAUGCCCUGCAGGCAGCCUGGGUGGGGGAAGAGUAAAAGCAACAUGAUCCUUGGGAACACAUUGUAGGGUUUCAAAAGACAAGACUGUGAGGCUGCCAGAGUCAAUGCAGAAAAACGAACAGCCUAACAUUGAGUGAAAAAAUAAAAAAGCGGGUCCAGAAAACUCAUUUGUAGCCCAGUUGUAAAUACAUAAGGACUGAAGGAACUGAAGGGGUUUGUAACCCCAUAAGAAGAACAACAACAUCAAUCAUCCAGACCCUCCAGAGCUUCCAGGGACUAAACCAUCAACCGAAGAGUACACAUGGACAGACCCACGGCUCCAUCUGCAUAUGUAGCAUAGGAUGGCCUUGUCGGGCAUCAGUGGGAGAAGAGGCCCUUGGUCCUAUAAAGGCUCGAUGUCCCAGUGUAGGGGAAUGUCAGGGCGGG
ensembl:lncRNA